AAUAAAGACCACAUCUCCCUCCCCGCUGAGGUUCACUGUAUGAAACCAUCUUAGAUUGUUGCGGGGUCAUGACUGAGACCCGUGGGCAGAGGCGGCCCUCCAUGGGGAAACCUACUUUGAGGUGGAGAGAGUCAGCUGCUGGCAGGGCAGAGACUCAUCUUGGGAAAAGUCUGGUUCUGGCACUUGUUCUAGCCUGGCCUUGUGCAAGGGCUUCAAAUCAAUGACUGAGAAGGUGAGUUGGGGGUGAGUUUAGGAUGCCCAGCUGGGCUCCACGGCUCAAUGGCCAGCCAAAGCUGAGAGGAAUUGGCAGAGGUCACUGUCCUUCCCACCCCUUCCAAUGCAUCCGCACCCCGCUGUACCCUUCUGCAGUUUCCCUGGGGUUUCUGGAGGCAUGUAGGAGUUUUAAUUCCAAUGCAAGUUUGCAUCAACCUGGAAUGCAUGUCCUGAGUAGGCAUUCUAGAAGCAGGGUAUCACCCUUGAGGUGAGACCCCAGCGGCACGGGACUUGAAUUUCUGCUACUUGUCCCAGUGGGGCCAGGGCUUUGUAACUGGACAAGGCUUAGGGGAGGAGCUGCAUAAGGACCCACAAGAGCAAUGUGAGUCCCAUGGGGUCAGAUGACCAUCGCAGACCGCACCCUUUGUGCUUCCUGCUUUCUCACUUACAGUGACCGUGAUGCUGGUGUAUAUGUUGGCCAAGGUGGAGAGAGCUGGGCUUGGAAAUCAGAGACCUGGGUGAGAAAGUGGCUGCUGCUAUGUCUCAGCUGUCACUCCUCCCUGGGGGCAUCACUCCUUUCUCCUGGCUCAGAUUUCCUUGUCUGGGUGUUGGGUGAUGCCUCAGAGCAGGCCUGUGGAAGAGCCUGUUUGACACUGAACGUCCUUGGAUGCCCCCUGAUACUGCUAUUUAUGCCUCACGAGCUCAGUUUGGGUCAGGGGUGAGUUUUUCCUGUUCACUCGUGUCUUGGUGACAGCAUUUAACAAAGAGACGUUUUAAGGCAUCUUCUGAACUUGUGAAUUUUGAGACAAGAAUUCUAGCUUUACAAAAUCGCUUGCAGAAACAAAUUCUGAACUGCAAUUUACUUUGCUUAAUGAAAAGAAACCAAAAAGCGUGGGCUUGCUGCUUGGCUGGAUAUUUUCUCUAGACAUGGCCCAGCCCAUACACGUUCGUGAGCCCCAGGUCUCCAAGCCAGGAGCUUUCAAACUUCAGUAGGUUGACGACCGUGUACAGAAAGUAAUCAAGGAGGCUCGUCCUGGAAUUCCAAAAUAGGGAGUCCUGACUUUGCAUCUAGGCGGAUCACCACGCCGAGUUAAGAAAUGAAACGCCUGCCAGUCCCUGGCAACUCAUCACAACGUGUGCUGCUGAUUAUUUCGGACCCGAAUUAGAAUUUCCCAACAGAGUCCAUCCGUGGGGUGUGGUGUAAAGUCCAGAGCGUGCCCUGGAAUAGUCUGGUUUCUGGAACAAGCCAUCUAGAGGACUGCUGGGCCGAGUCUAUCAGUGUCUGGUGUCUGUGACGGUGAGCAGUUCAGGGCACACAAUGGAGGGACACAGGUUUAGUUUUAGCAAGGGUGCGUCCCCUUGGAGAGCGCAUGUGUGUGUAACCUCCAAGUGGGAGGAGGCGGCGGGAGGGAGGUGCUGAGGCCUGGAUGCCCUGGCUACCUGGGAGUUCACAGUCCCUGCAUCCGCUCAGCUGCACCUCCCUGGACUCAAAGUCACUCCUGAGAAGGAAGGCUUUGCCGUGUCAUCUGACGGUUCAGGUCGUUACAUUGGCCUUGUAUCCAACGGCUCGCUUCAAUAUCGACUUCAUUUUCUCCUGUCUCCAUCCUAAUUUUCCACUGACACUGUUGUGUAAUUGCCUGAGGCCUGGGUAAUUAAUUGUUCGUUCUGGUUGCAUCAGUUUAGUCCUCAUGAGCGCGGAGGCCCCCAUGUUGGGAAGGUCUCUGAAUUGGAUUUUCAUCUGUUCGGCACUGUCAUCGUUAAUUACGAGAGUCGGAGUGAGGCCAUUUUGAAAAUGAAAACACAUUACCAUGACUUCCAGGCAUACUGGAUCCCAUUAAGUUUCUCUUUCUGCUGCCUUGCAGAUACAUGCAGAUAAUGGCUUCAGAUUGACGUGUAGAUAGACGUAUAGAUAAGAUCAUGCCCUUGGAGGCGCUUCUAUUCUCCUGACAAGGGUACCCGUGAGGGAUGCCUAUUUCUUGAUUUUGCUGUGCUCAACUUAAUCUGACAGUUGUACCCUUUGAGAAAGAAAAGAGAAGCGAGCCCCAGGAGACGGCCGCGGCCGCAUUGUUCAGCAGGAGGGGGCUCUUGUUGGCAGAGGGCCCGUGCAAUAAAGGUCUAUUUGAGAUGCAGUUUGAGUCUCCCCUCGGCCCCCGUGUGCAGGGUACCUCUCUUUUAUGGAUUCUUUGAGCACAUUUUACUCAUGGCCACAUGGCAAUGUGUCAGUUUACCUGCCUGUCACCACCUCCUAGAAGGACAUGAACCUCCAGCACCAGAUGCUGCAUCUGUGGACAGAAUAAUGGCUCCAUAGACAUGUCCACGCCCUUAUCCCUGAAAUCUGUAAGUACUUAUCUAGUGAAAGGGACUUUCCAGAUGGGAUUAAAUUAACUAUCUGGAGAUGGGGAGAUUCUCCUGGAUUACCUGGGUGGGCCCACUGUAGUCACAGGGUCCUGACAGGAGGGAGGCAGGAAGGUCAAAGGCAGAAAUAGGAGAUGUGAUGACGGAACCAAAGCUACUCCAGGUUGGAGGGAUGAGCUUUGAAGAUGGAGGAGGGGCCAUGAGCCAAGGAACGCAGGUGCCUCUAGAAGCUGGAAAAGACAAGGAAACAGAUUCUCCCCCAGAGCCUGCAAGAGGAAGGCAGCCCUGUGGACGCCUGGAUUUUAGAGUUCUGGCCUCCAGAGCUGGAAGAGGAUAAAUUGUUUUUUUUAAGUCACUGAGUUUACGGUAAUUUGUUACAGCAGAAGUAGGAAACUCAUAUGGUUCCCGAUCCUUACCAGGUGCUGAGUGUUGGUCGAAUGAAAGAUUGCUGGAAAAGGUGAAGCCCCAGAAAUGUGGUUUUCACGUGAAAUCAAUUUCAGGAUGAGUGCAAAUAAACUCACUGUCUCCUCACUCUGCUGAAAUGAAGACCGUUUACUGCCUUUUGAUUCAUGAGGCUGAAUAUUCACAUGCACGGAGCGAUUUUGGUGAAGAGCAGCCUUCGACUGACAAUUACAGCACCGUGUAAGACAUCUAUUAAAUGGGAGCUUAAAGGUUUCCAUUUAGCUUCCUUUCAUGAAGUUUUCAUGAUGUGUUUAAAGUAAAAAUUGUGAGUAUGUCACCCUAUCAUCUUUUUCAAAGACACAGGAAAAAGACCCUGUUGCAAUGAUUUCUUGUUCCUGAAGCAAAACUCGGAGAGAAUAAGUCUCAAAGACAGCUGUGUUGAUUAUGUUGCUACCACACGCAGUCUCACGUCUCAGCUUCCAGGGAGGGCCUUCCAGGACAGUACGUGUCCCGAAGUGUGCCACCCUCUCCGGGAGAGCCAGCUGGUAGUUUUUGGCAGCUGGUGGCAUUGAACUUGAGCUUCGUUUUGGAAACAUCUUCUAAGACUCACCUGCUGCUACACCUAAUGGUACCAGACCUUGGGAGACAGUGUAGUCAGGAACCAAAGGGGCUCGUGCGAAGAAUGAGCUGGUGUGGUAGGAGACGGCCACAGAAGGGAAAACGCCUGAUUCUCCGUGGGCCUUCUCCACACACCGGGAGGCAGGCGUUCUUAGUGUCCUUCGCCCAGCUGCACCCCCACCAGUUUCAGAGGAAUGUCCAUGCUGGGAAUCUGGUUUUCCCCUGGAACGCCAUCUCUGUUUAACAUCAGAGGGUGAUGGAUUUUUUUAAACAGGAGAGUGGCUUGGCAUACUCCUCUACUGGCACAUCCACUUGUUAGGGAGGGGACCCCAUGUGCUGCAUCUUCAUGGGAGUUGUGGAAGCACCACAGAGAGUCAGUGGGCAUCUCGGCGGAAGACGAUUAGAAAGGAGUCUUCUCUGGACUGGGAAGCAUGUGAAGGAGGGCCGGAAGGGGGGCUGGAUGCGUGGAAUUCAGGUUUGUAUCACAGCUUCAGGAAGGCACUUUCAGCUGAUUGAGUAGCAUCUUGUCAUUAUUUAAGCUGCUGUCCAUCAGUAGUCUUAAAAUCCUUAUUCUCUUCUUGGUGACUUAUAGGAGAUUCUGACAUCAACUGUAAAAAGAAGAACAUUUAAAAUUCUAUUUACUUGAGAAUAAUUGUGAGGCCAAGUUGUAUCAGAAAAUCCAUUAAGUACUUAAAAGAUUAAUUUUCGUUAUGACUGCUAGUUAGUAAAUAUUAUCUUUUAUAUCAUCCUGAACAAUAAUAUGAGGGAUGGGAACUAUUUAACUUGUUUUGGUUUGAUUUUAAAACUUUAAUUAUGGUAAUAUUUGGCAUUAUUAUUAGUAUUAUAAGAGGACUGAAGCAAAUUACUUUUGGUGGUUGAUUUCUUGAAACAGUUUUUACUGGAUCACUGGAAAUGAAGCUUAAAUCCUGGAAGCAAGUGUAGAGAUGGGAGGAAAUUGAGUCUAAUGGGAGAAGAGUAAAGUUACCUGGGAAUUCCGAUUUAUUUUGGGCAAAAUCUCUUAUGGUUAGUUGCGUAAUGAUGAAGGAGUCGGUGUUCUGCCUGUUCAUUCAUUCAUUCAUUCAUUCAAUGAGUACUUACCGAAGCUGAUGCAUUCUUUUUUGGGGGGAGUGAUAUUAAUUUAAAAAAUUUUAUUUUUAAUAAGCAAUGUGUAGAUCUAAGAUAUACAAUAUGCUGAUUGGAUAUUCGUAUAUGUAGUGAAAUGAUUACUAUAGUAAAGCUAAUUAACAUAUCUUCUCCUUACGUAGUUACUGUCUUUGCUGUGAAAUGAGAGCACCUGAAAUUUACUUGUGGGGGACUGGAAUUGGCCACCCCAAGAUAUGCCUCUUUGGCAUGAGGAUUAUUUUGGGCUGGUUACCUUAAAAACUGCGGAUAGGAAAGAAACUCGGAAAAGUAGAAUUUACUUACCCUUUGUUAAGAGACAUUUAUAUUGUAAAAGAAAUCUCCAUCUGUAAAGGGGUCUCCCUCUCUGUACCAGGAAGAAGGGGGGUGACCUUAUCUCUAGAAACUCUUAUCAAUGCAGAAGGCAAGGACUUAAAUCUGCAUAAUAACCUGAUUCUUGUUUACUGUGCUUUUCUGGCAAUCUCCUGUAACUGACUCCCCUCAGCCCCAACAUCCUCCUUUGUCUUUAACUGAAGAUGAUAUUUAAGGUGGUAGCUUCAGCCAUUUUGGCGAGUUGCUCAGCUUGCCUGAGCCUCUCCCAUGUAUACAUGUUAUAAAGCUUUCUUUAAUUUUCUCCUGUUAUUUUGUCUCAUGUGAAUUUAAUUCAUUCUUUGGCCAUAAGGACCCAGAGUGGGUAGAGG
ensembl:lncRNA